GGGAGACAUUACUGUCUCUAAGACUGAAAGGAGGUGGGUGAUAAUGUACCAGAAGCUUCAGUGGGGAGCCUGGAGGAACUGUCACUAUGGAGAGAGGAGAACCUUUCCAGGGGGCAUAUAUCAAGAAAGGACACCUCUACAGGAAGACUGUUGAAGUAUUCCUGGGUAAAUAGAUAUGAUCUGCAACUUCCUCCCAGUGCUACACAGCAGUGAUGUCAUUGUCCCCUGGUCAUAGUCACGAUGUCAUGCUUUUGCAGUCUGCCCUACACAGCAAUGAUGUCAUGAUCUCUGUGAGGUGACAACUGAAUUUCCUUCUAGGACCCUCCAGAUGAAUAUGCUAAGGUAAAGAUUCCCAGGGUCUGCUAAAGAUGAUGUUUGAACAGAUGCCUGACUAUGUGGCUUAGUCCUCAUGAGCAUAUUUAUACCUGAAAGGCAUAAGUUAAUAUAGAGAGAGUAACAGGUUAAGAAAAUGUAAAGAAGUUUCUGUUUUAGAAAGUACCUCACAGUUGAUUUGUAUGGGACAAGACUACACAUAGCAAAUGAAGUUUUGAGGUGAUUUUGCUUUUAAAUAUGGCUAAUUCACAGCUAAGAAUAUAUGCAGGUUCUCACUUUUAGAGUCCCCUGAACUUGAAGUCCUUGACACAUUGUGAGUGUAUUCUUCAGACACCGAGAUCGGGACAUGAGAGCUGAGGUGGUAUGGCAGGUCUGCAACAUGCUUUUGUGAUGUCUGUCAUUUUCCCCUGGAGAACAGCUGGCAUACUCUGUGAAGACAGACAAGAUUAGCAUAGUCAAAGGUAAAUGUAACAUUCAAAAGAAAUAGAUACUAAAUUCAGGAUCCUCAAAGAGGUGCCCCAUCAGGAUCUGCUGCCAUAAUCUACCAAUUUUUUGCUCAUCACCUCUCAUCUUUGGCUACUUAGAUGCUCUGUUUUUUUUUUUUUUUUUUUCUUACCUCAGGGCCUUGGUAUUUGCCUGUGGUUUGUAGGUAAAGAAGUUGGAUCAGAAGCUAGUAAGCUAGGUCCUGCUGCUGUAGGGCUUCUAAAACAAGAAAAAC
rnacentral:lncRNA from 1 species